UACGGGGGGAGCAAGCGUUGUUCGGAUUUACUGGGCGUAAAGGGCGCGUAGGCGGUCGUGACAAGUCACUUGUGAAAUCUCCGGGCUUAACUCGGAACGGUCAAGUGAUACUGUCGGACUAGAGUACAGAAGGGGCAACUGGAAUUCUCGGUGUAGCGGUGAAAUGCGUUGAUAUCCACAGGAACUCCGGUGGCGAAGGCGGCGUGCUGGACCCUCUCUGACGCUGAGGCGCGAAAGCCAGGGGAGCAAACGGG
rnacentral:rRNA from 1 species